rnacentral:rRNA from 1 species
AGCGCAGACGGUUAUUUAAGCAAGAUGUGAAAGCCCCGGGCUCAACCUGGGAACUGCGUUUUGAACUGGGUAACUAGAGUGUGUCAGAGGGGGGUAGAAUUCCACGUGUAGCAGUGAAAUGCGUAGAGAUGUGGAGGAACACCGAUGGCGAAGGCAGCCCCCUGGGAUAACACUGACGUUCAUGCUCGAAAGCGUGGGUAGCAAACA